GACGAACGUUGGCGGCGUGCUUAAUACAUGCAAGUCAACUGAAGCACCGGUAGUAAUACUGGUGUGGAGGUGGCGCACGGGUGAGUAACACGUAGGUAAUCUGCCUUCAGGUCUGACAUAACCCCGAGAAAUCGGGGCUAAUAGCAGAUGAUGCAGCGGCUUGACAUCAAGACAGUUGUUAAAGCUUCGGCGCCUGAAGAUGAGCCUGCGUCUGAUUAGCUAGUUGGCGGAGUAAUAGCCCACCAAGGCGACGAUCAGUAGCUGGUCUGAGAGGAUGAUCAGCCACACUGGAACUGAGACACGGUCCAGACUCCUACGGGAGGCAGCAGUAAGGAAUAUUGCUCAAUGGGAGAAAUCCUGAAGCAGCAACGCCGCGUGAGGGAUGAAGGGCUUUUGCUCGUAAACCUCUGUAGUGA
rnacentral:rRNA from 1 species